rnacentral:misc_RNA from 1 species
UAUUUAUUUAUUUAUUUACUUUUUAACUAGAUGGGAGUUCAAUGUGGGUAUCUCAAAAGUUAUAAAAGAUGUAUUCCACAUGUAUAUGUGUAGAAAAGUAUCAAUAUGUAUAUAUAUCUUCAAAUGGAAGGAUUGGCAUAUAUGGAAAAAUAAUUAAUUAUGGUGAACACUUCACACGCAUCAAAUAAUCACCAAACCUGACUUUGGUGGGAUUUUAUCUCAUUCUCAAAUACUCAAAACAUGUCUUUAAGAUGCAGACUUUACUUUGGCAUUAACUUGAGUUUGGUAGUAAGUAAUUUUUGAAGUAAUUAAAGUAUAUAUCAACUUAAUGUCUCCCACACAGCUCUAGGCAUUUCAUGAUUAAUUGCGACCUCAAUCGGAAUGAUCGGUUUGUUUGUCAGAUUUGAAGGCUUCUUUGUCUUUUUUCUUACCUUUACUUGCAUGUUUAUCUGGUCUAUGGCCGCGAUGUUCAAAUACAUCAAAGAUGUCCAAAUGAACACCGGGGUCAUUGGUGUUGUAGCUGCUUCCAAGCAUGAUAGAGUUGUUAAUCGCUUGGAAAUUGCUAUUGACAUAAGUAUCCAAUGCGUCAGGCUCACCAGUCGAAACUCCGCCUUGAGGAGCAUUAUUGGGUGCUUUCUCAUCCAACGCACUUCGCAUUGUGGCUCCGGUGUUUGUUCCAGCAAGUGUGAUGAUUCGUAUGCCAUGUUCAUCUGGCUCCUCUUGUUGGGGCUGCUGGAAUGCGCCGGGCUUGUGAAGAUCGCAAACGCGAGAUGUUAUUGCAUUCACCAUG